rnacentral:rRNA from 1 species
UACGUAGGGGGCGAGCGUUGUCCGGAUUUAUUGGGCGUAAAGAGCUCGUAGGCGGCUUGGCAAGUCGGGUGUGAAACCUCCAGGCUCAACCUGGAGACGCCACUCGAUACUGCCAUGGCUAGAGUCCGGUAGGGGACCACGGAAUUCCUGGUGUAGCGGUGAAAUGCGCAGAUAUCAGGAGGAACACCGGUGGCGAAGGCGGUGGUCUGGGCCGGCACUGACGCUGAGGAGCGAAAGCGUGGGGAGCAAACAGG